ACUCCUACGGGAGGCAGCAGUGGGGAAUAUUGCACAAUGGGCGCAAGCCUGAUGCAGCCAUGCCGCGUGUGUGAAGAAGGCCUUCGGGUUGUAAAGCACUUUCAGUUGUGAGGAAGGUGGUGUCGUUAAUAGCGGCAUCAUUUGACGUUAGCAACAGAAGAAGCACCGGCUAACUCCGUGCCAGCAGCCGCGGUAAUACGGAGGGUGCGAGCGUUAAUCGGAAUUACUGGGCGUAAAGCGCAUGCAGGUGGUUUGUUAAGUCAGAUGUGAAAGCCCGGGGCUCAACCUCGGAACUGCAUUUGAAACUGGCAGACUAGAGUACUGUAGAGGGGGGUAGAAUUUCAGGUGUAGCGGUGAAAUGCGUAGAGAUCUGAAGGAAUACCGGUGGCGAAGGCGGCCCCCUGGACAGAUACUGACACUCAGAUGGCGAAAGCGUGGGGAGCAAACAGGAUUAGAUACCCUGGUAGCACAGAG
rnacentral:rRNA from 1 species